UGGACCUAGAUGACACAC
rnacentral:miRNA from 1 species